GCCUUCGUGGUGUAAAGGUCAACAUUCUCGGCACGUAUUCUAGAGGUCCGAGGUUCGAGUCCCGGCGAGGCCA
rfam:Stegodyphus mimosarum contig104012, whole genome shotgun sequence.